UUACGAUCAUAUCAUGUUGAAAUACCGGUUCCCGUACAAUCACCAAAGUUAAGCAACGGCGAGCCUGAUCAGUAGCUUGAUUGGUGACCGCUUAGGAAUACAAGGUGCUGUAAG